CAGCCACUGGACUGAACCAGGAAGCACUUUUUGUGCUGCUGGCCCAGACUCCUCUAUCAGCUGCCAAGUAGAAUCCAAACACACUAUAUAAGGCCAAGAAAGCAGUUUGGGGCUGCUUGCUGCCCAAAGCAAGACAAUAACUGUAUCCCUCCCUCUCUGAGCCCUGUCUGUCGAAUUCCCCUAUCAGCACUCCCUCUGUCCGGGCUUUCUUUCAAAGAGAAUACUGUAAUUAGCAUUGCAUUAGCAACGUUGUAAAACUGUGUGGGGAAAAACAGAAUCAAGCUAUCGUGGCACGGUGAGCAAUUGGCAAGGCUGGAGGUUUGAAUCCGGGAUGCGGCCUUCCUGUAUGCAAUGGAUCUUGACUUCCCCCCUCACCCCGAAAAUAUGCUUCUCAUGAGAGUAUAAAAAUACAAUUCCAGCAGCAGCACAGUGUGACAUGCCUUCACAAUAAAUAAAUAAAUAAACAAACAACAUGUACCGGUAAGUAGUAUUUUAAGUCACAAAACCUUGGCGGUACAGUUAGGCUCUCUGACCCUACUUUUAAGGUAUAUGGAGACAUCCCUCCUUCAAAUCCACAUGGGUAAAUCUCUCCUUUGAAUCUUCCAAAGUGUGGAAAACCAAUGCAGCAACGAUCCAGUACACACGUACAAGAUGGACAACCCCCCCCCCCCCAACAACAACAACAACA